rnacentral:rRNA from 1 species
AUACGGAGGGUGCAAGCGUUAUUCGGAAUCACUGGGCGGAAAGGACGCGUAGGCGGGUUGGCAAGUCAGAUGUGAAAUCCUACAGCUUAACUGUAGAACUGCAUUUGAAACUGCUAACCUAGAGUAUGGGAGGGGGAGAUGGAAUUAGUGGUGUAGGGGUAAAAUCCGUAGAUAUCACUAGGAAUACCGAAAGCGAAGGCGAUCUCCUGGAACAUAACUGACGCUAAGGCGUGAAAGCGUGGGGAGCAAACAGGAUUAGAUACCCUAGUAGUCC